UUCCAAGCUUUUCUAAAAGCUACCACAUAACUCCAUCAACAAUGUAU
rfam:Sarcophilus harrisii ctg7180001658362, whole genome shotgun sequence.